GACGAACGCUGGCGGCGUGCCUAACACAUGCAAGUCGAACGAAGUGGCGAACGGGUGAGUAACGCGUAAUCAACCUGCCCUUCAGUGGGGGACAACAGUUGGAAACGACUGCUAAUACCGCAUACUGAAGGAGGGGAUUGAGUCUGAUUCGCUAGUUGGAGGGGUAACGGCCCACCAAGGCGAUGAUCAGUAGCCGGGCUGGGAGGGUGAACGGGCACAAUGGGACUGAGACACGGCCCAGACUCCUACGGGGGGCAGCAGUGGGGAAUCUUCCGCAAUGGGGGGAAGUCUGACGGAGCAACGCCGCGUGAGUGAUGACGGCCUUCGGGUUGUAAAGCUCUGUUAAUCGGGACGCGGUACCGAAAUAGAAAGCCACGGCUAACUACGUGCCAGCAGCCGCGGUAAUUC
rnacentral:rRNA from 1 species